GUCUCAGUAGCAUAGCGGUUACGGCACAGCUCCGCAUAGGUUGAGACGCGGGUUCGAGUCCCGCCUGAGAUG
rnacentral:tRNA from 1 species